rnacentral:rRNA from 1 species
GAAUGAGGAAGCGGCGACUGUGAGUACGCGUGGGCAACCUGGCCUAGAAAGGAUAGCCCCCGGAAACGGGGAGUAUACUUUUAUGAGAAAUGAAGAGAGGGCAUCUAUCUUUUCAUUCAAAGCGCAAGCGCUUUAAGAUGGGGCCCGCGUUAUCAUUAGCUAGUUGGUGAGAUAACAGCCCACCAAGGCAACGAUGAUUAGCCGGUCUGAGAGGGCGAACGGCACAUUGGAACUGAGAGACGGUCCAAACUCCUACGGGAGGCAGCAGUGGGGAAUAUUGCGCAAUGGAGAAGAACUCUGACGCAGCAAUACCGCGUGAGCGAAGAAGGUCUUCGGAUCGUAAAGCUCUGUUAUCAGGGAAGAAGAAAAUGACGGUACCUGAUGAGCAAGUCCCGGCUAACUACGUGCCAGCAGCCGCGGUAAUACGUAGGGGACAAGCGUUGUCCGGAAUCACUGGGCGUAAAGGGCGCGCAGGCGGUGAUUUAAGCAGGAUGUGAAAGGCUACGGUCAACCGUAGACAUUGCACCCUGGAACUGGGUCACUUGAGUAUUGGAGAGGCAGGCAGAAUUCCUGGUUGUAGCGGUGAAAAUGCGUAAGAUU